rnacentral:lncRNA from 14 species
CCGAACGUUAAAGUACCACUUGUAUUUUUUGUUGUUGUUCCAGGAGUAUGCAGAGAUCCCAGCAGGAUUCAAAACCAAACCAACACUCAGAGAAAGACAUUCCCUGCUAUCAACAGGCAAAGAUGCAGACUGGAUGUGUCCACACUUUCACAAGAUAGUCCCUGCCUCAGCAGCCAGGUGUCGGUCUGUGAUUUCCAGCUGGAGAGAACAUUUGCUCACUUACAGAUGCCUGGUUUUGUUCAUUUCUUUCUGCCCAAUUCCCAGCUUGGCACACCCUCAACUUCUGCAGUCUUUGGAUGUCCAGAUGGGCAUAUUUGAAACACAUAAAACAGACUUCACGUUGCUCUUCCCAUAUUUUUAAAAAUCUAGUAUUUCUUUUUCUGAAUCUUUCAAGUCUAAUUUGAAUUGACAAUAAGAGUCUUUCAGCUCUUUCAAGUCUAAUUUUUUUGUUGUUGUUGUUCUUGUGCAAGAAAGCAAGUGCUUUCUUGCACAGCUGGGUUCGAGCUGUACAGCCUUUAACAGGUCGGCACUGAGUUCCCCAACACGCAGCUAUAAACAGCUUAUUUUAUUUUACACAGUUUUUGACAGUUUCCCUUAUUUCGCUUUUCCUCGUUCAGGCCAACUGAUUCUCCAUGUCUUUGUGCUUUUAUUUUUGGUUUCUGUAUCUUCCUGUAGACAGUAUCAUAAUUUUCUCAGCAUUCCUCCCCCCCCCCCCCGCCCCCUUUCCCUGGCAGAAAAGGAUCAGACAGUUGCAAUUUUAGCUGCUAGCUGCCAUAAAACUCUAAGACAGCACAGCAAGGCUACCUGGCCUGCUUCUGUUCCCUCGAUAGCUUUGCAAAGGUCCAGUUAGCAAAUUUGCAGAGGCAGGUCUGCAAUGGGGAAGGAGGGAGGGAGGAAGGGAAGAGCAGUGGUGCCUGGCCGUGGAGUCCCUGAUGCUCCCCAUGGUGGUAAGGGCCACGGCCCCGUGCGGUCAGCCACUCCCUGAUUCAAGGGCUGCUGCGGCAUAGAGGGACCCGACAGCAACACCAGGUCCCUCAGUUGACCCCAGGCAGGGCAGCAACCCCUGCCCCUACCCCACAGCCCCUGGCCGGGCUCCCAGUGGCGUCAGGGCUGCCAAGCUGAGCAUGGCCAGUAUAUGGCCUCACAGCCCGACAGGGAUGAGUAUCACAGAGUAACCUUUAGAAAUUGUGUUAUUUCAGCAAUUUUAAAGCAGUGUACUUCAGUG